UGGAGGGGUAGAAAGGCGGGGGAUCGCAAGACCUCGCGCAAUUGGAGCGGCCGAUGCCCGAUUAGCUAGUUGGUGAGGUAAGGCUCACCAAGGCGACGAUCGGUAGCUGGUCUGAGAGGACGACCAGCCACACUGGGACUGAGACACGGCCCAGACUCCUACGGGGAGGCAGCAGGUGGGGUAAUUUUUGGACAAUGGGGGCAACCCUGAUCCAGCCAUGCCGCGUGCAGGAUGAAGGCCUUCGGGUUGUAAACUGCUUUUGUCAGGGACGAAAAGGACCGUGUUAAUACCAUGGUCUGCUGACGGUACCUGAAGAAUAAGCACCGGCUAACUACGUG
rnacentral:rRNA from 1 species